CCAGGAUGUUUAGGCUUGGAGAGGUUACGGGUGCCAUAGAGCGGCUAGGCCCUUGGGAUGGGAUCUGGAACACCUGCCUCUUAGUGCCUCUCUCGGGCAGCAUGGGGUCUCUCUCACAGAGGUGCUUCUUCUCCCUCUGCGUUUGCUUCUCUCUUCAGAUACCAGCUGGCUUAUUCAUUGCCUAUUGGGCUCACUCGUUUGUUUUGUUCCCUUACACCAGCUCUCACAGGCCCUGCUCUGCCAGAGGGUCUCCUCUGCGCAUCAGCUGCCUCUUGACCGCCUCCUCCUCUUCAGACCCCCUGCUCACAUUCCCAUGAGAAAGAACUGGAAAAGCCAUCCUUUCACUGGAGGCCAGCCACUUCCUGACCUUCAGGUUGGCUGUCCCAGGUCAGGUUCCCAAUUUGUUUCAGUUAUUUGUGGCUGAGGGGUACCAGGCCUCAUGGGGUGAGUAUUUUCCUUUAGUCAUUAAAUUUUUUUGGAAGGAAUUGACCUUAAGCCAGACAUUGGGAUACCGGGAAUACAGCACCCACAGAGCAAAGCCCUUGCUUUCAGUGAACUGGCCUUUUACCUCCUUUACCUGCAGGUAUGUGUGUGAUAGACAUGCUGGCUUGUCCAGUUUGGAUGACAUGAUCCAUGAUUGAACACUGAACUCUUGCCUCCAUCCCCAUGUCACCACCUCCUGCGGAUCCCUGCAUUCCUAUCAUUUCCUGGCUACCCAUCCACCUCCAGGAACUGGGGUGCACCUUGCUCCACUGUACUGCAUAGUCCAGGGUGACCAAACAGGUGGCCUCAACAGUUGGGAGGAGAAUGAUGAGAGGGGAAUCCUGGUGGUCACUGCUCACAGGCCCUGCUAAGCAGCUGCCGAGGGCAGUUGCGUCCCAGCCACAAAUGAUGAGGUUACUAACUACGCUAAUAACUGGUCAGCUAAUAGCCAAGCUGUGCUCCUCUCUUUUCUUUCUUCCCUUCCAUCACUGCUAAACUGCUUGAAAGGAUGCCAAGCCUUGUCAAAUGGUCUUUCCUCGCCCUGAAUGAACCUUUCCUAGGCUUGCCUUUCACAUUCUUCAAACUCCUAGUAAUCCUUUGAAACCAGUUCCUGGCAUUUUCCUUCCUAGCGAAUCCUUCCCUAAAUUCGUAGAGGCAGUCAGGCCCUCAUUUGAACUAGUUUUGUACUCGGUAUGCAAUUUUAUUGUUGCCCUUAUCAUGCUUAAUAAUUGCAAAUAUUUAGAUAAGUGUUUACUGGAGUGUAAACUCAGAGGGUAGAGGUCAUGUUUUGAUUAUUUAUUUAUUUUUAAUUUAAAUAAACUACUUUAGAAUAGUUGUUUUUUUCAGAAAAGUUGCAGAGGUGGUACAGCGAGUUCUCACCUACCCCUUGCCCAGUUUCCGCUAUUGUUAACAUCUUUACUCUGGAAUAUUUGUUCCGUAGAAUAGGAAUUAGCAUUGGUGUGUUACUAUUAACUACAUUUCAUAGUUUAUUCAGAUUUCAGUAGUUUUGUCCUAAUGUCCUUUUCCUAUUCAGGAUGCCAUCCUGGUACCACAUUACAUUUAGUUGUUAUGUCUCCUUAGCUUCUGCUAGUCUGUGACAGUUUCUUGAAUUUUCUUUGCUUUUGAUGACCCUGACAGUUUUAAGGCAUACUGGUUAGGUAUGUUGUAGAAUGUCCCUUAAUAUGUUUGUCUGAUGUUUUUCUCAUGUUUAGACUGGAGUUUGCUUAUUUUUAAAUACCAGCACUGAGCUAAAUACCUAGCAUGAACCACUAAAUGGUACAUUUGAUUAGACCAGGCAUUUGAUUAAUGGUUGUUAAACUGAAUAGAAUUCAAUUGUUUCUUUAGCACCACCUUUAUAAACAGAACCCUGAUUGAUGCUCUUCAAGAGAUGAAGUAUGAAACUAAAGUCCUACAAAGAUCUUCCACAUAGCUAAAUAACAAAAGACAGUAUGUAACCAAGUGUCAAAUAAAUGGAACUGAGAGAACGACCUAUGGCAGUUCGGAGAUAGAUUAAUCAGUAUGAAUGGGUGAAGUCAGCAAGAUCUAUGUGAAAGAAAGGACUGGAAAAGUGGGGGGAUUUAGAGAGGACUUUUCAAUCCUCAGAUACACCAAGCUCUUCCCUGACUUCAGGUCUGCUCAUGAAUGAGAAAUCUGGGAGGCAUUUCCAACCCCUCUCUUCUCCUGGCUGCUGCUUCUCAUUCCUUAGGUGUACCCCAAAAUGCGACCUCUGCAGAUCACAUCACCUCAGAUAGGCUCUAUCUGACACUCUCCCCCAGAGACCUUGUUUGUUUUCUUCAUAGAUUUUGUCUAUGUUUGUAAUAAUUGGUUUUUAUUUCUUUACUGUCUGUCUCCCUGUCUAGAAUCUAAGCUCCUUGAGGACAAGUACUGUGCUUUUUAUUUACCCUGGCAGAGAGCAUUACCUGGCAUACGGUGGUACUCAAAUUAUCUUGUUGAAUGAAUGAAAGGAUUGAUACUGGAUGAGCCUGACAAGACAUGAGACAGUGACAAGAAGAUACUUGAGCAACUGUUGUAAGAGGCCCUGGCACAGGGCAAGAGUGAACCUGGGAGGCAGAUGGGAUGCUGCCAGGUCAUGAGACUGCUCACAAUGGUAUCAGGUGAUCCCAAAUGCGGUGGCAUAAUUUGGGCAAAGGCCAGCCAUGUACGAGGUGUGGGCUGCAUACAGGUGGAGGGCAUCCAGUAAUUUUCCAUCUUGGAAGGUCAACAAGAGUUCACAGACAGACGAACUGGAUAAGAAUAUAAUAUAUAGUAUGUAUACACAUAUAUAAUAUAUAAUAACUGGGGGAUAAGGAAUAAGUGAAAUCAAGGGUGAGGCAGGGCUUGUAGAAACGUCUGUAUCAACUGAGACUGUAUUCCAUGAAUGAGAACAAGACAAAAGCUCUUGGAAGGCAAGAGGGGUGCCCAGUUUAAUCUCUCUGGUGUGCGCACAGCCCCAAGAAGAAAUGGGCACCCUGGUCAGUGCUGCUGAGCAAGAAAGAUAAAGUGGAAGAUGGAGACUUAUGAUUUUGCUAUAGGAUUUAGUAUUAGGAAACGACAGUCAUCUUGAGAAGCAUGAGAUAAUCUAGAAUGGUGCAACAAUGAACCCCCAGGCUAGAAUGGAAAGGACCCGAUAGAAAUCUUUAUUUUCUACCACGUUGUCUACGUGAUUACAAAGGACAUAAUCAGAGUACACACUGCCUACCUUGAAAAGUAUAUAUUUUCCUGCUGAAGUUCAAUUUAAAAACACUGACCAAAAAGGCAGUGUUUCCUACAGCUUCUGACUGGAGCAAGCCCAGUGGGAAAAGACCUGGAAAGCAUACGGCAAAGGAACUCUGAGAGUCCAGAGUAAGAUUUAGAAACCCAAAAAGCAGGAUGCGUCAUUUUUGUAUACCUAUAUAAAUUAAUUCUGAUGGUUGAGCUCUGCUUAUUUUUCAUCCAACCUAAGCAACAGCUUUGAAAGGUGACAGAGCUCCCUGGCUUCCCUGGAGGACCAAGGACACAGUCAACCGAUUUUCCUCUGCCAAGGUGGAGGUGGGCAGAGGAAAGCAUAAAGGAUGGCUGCACUUUGACAUCUGAAGGUCAGAACACAAAUGAAGGAGGGUGUCUUUGUUAUUUCAAAUCUAUAGCCUUUGGACCCCCAGAAGGCGGUCCUGUUGUGAACCCCGCCAUGGGUCCUGUUCACCGAUUUGUAACUCAGAAAUCCCUUCUCUUCUCUGUGCCUCGCUAGUCAAAGGCUAUCAGGGACCACGCGCGUUAGCUUGUGCAGUCCCUUCAGUUGAGAAGGAAGGAAACUGCUGAGCAGAGGACAGUGGGACCUGGGCAAUCACCCUGGUAGAUGGCGUCUGAGCCAGGAGGAGACCUCCCCCAGCUUUCCUUCCACAAAUCCUAAGCAGCCCGUCAGACGACUGACCACAACACUGGCUCUGAUUCUCCAUUUUGAUAUUCACUCUGCAUUUAUUUGAAUAUAUGAGCACUGCUCAUCCUAGUUUAUCCCUCACAUUAGUUUUGCAACAACCUUGAAGAGUCCAGGGAAAAACCAAACCAAAAGACUACUCAUAUUGACACUCAUUUUCAUGAAAUGCACACCAGGUAACUGACCUAGACUCCUACUUCCCUGCCAGUCUCCAGCUCAUAUCAAUUCAUUUCCCUCACAGAAAAUAGGUGUCAGUUUUGUCGAUGGAAAGUAAUUUCCCUGUAACUAUUACCGGAGAGGUUACUAGAACUACUUGACAGUUUUAUUAUUACUUUUGGUUCAAGCUGAAGUGGGGGACUCUACAUCGCCAGCCAGUACUGUGAAAAAAUGUAAGCGUUUCAAACUUUGUGUUAGUUUUAAUAUCAGAGGGAAAAACAGGAAACAAAGAAGCAAUGUGUGGGCUGCAUGCCGAGUAUGUCUUUAAGAUCACCUCACAGGAUACUGGCUUUCCUUUUCACUUCCCACCCACAAACUUUCAGGUCCUGGAACAGCAGCGUGCGUUGAAGGGAAUUACUCUGGGGCACUUGAGCAGCUGGCUUGGAGGCGGACAGCUGAGGCGCGUUGGCAGGACCUGCUUGUAAACACUGGUUACCAGCUCAUUCACAAGUCUGUAUGUAUACCCUCAAACUACACUCAGAAGCAAGGUUUGUGGAUGGUGCACGACAGUUUGUGAGCUAACAGAAAGGGGUCGGGUUCCCUGAGCCAGAAGACACUGGGGCUUGUGGAGCUUCGCACAAAUGACACACCUCUUCACAGACGCCCACCUCUCUUCUAAGCACUUGAAGACCUCAGUACUUUCAGUGUUUCUAUCACGACCAGAGGCUGCCGUUUUGUUGCUGAAUUUUUGCUGAACGACUGAGCAAAAGGACAACUGAUCUCAAGAGGGUGUCCCUGCACUAGGGAUAUUCAGAGACUAAAACUCUUCCAAAGGAGAAAAGAGCCUAGUGCCUGAAACCCCAAACAAUUGUCAUGUGCAGUGCUGGUUGUUGAUAGAGGACUAUGGCCCAGAAGGUGUCCAUUCUUUACACGGAGGCUCCUCUGUGCGCUUCGCCUGCUGCAGCUGCCUUCACAAUCUCUGUCGUCACUCCCCUCAGGCAGCUGGGUGAGACACGGCUCAGGUUUUCUGCCUACACUGGAUGCUGGGUGGAGGAUCCCAGGAGUAGAUGGAGUUUAAAUAGGCUACUGCAAAUUUCCCUGCAAAUCAUGAAAUUCGGUGUUGCUGUGAUUUGCCUGUGUCCUCCCAGAAAAGCCAAGAUAAAUUCGCUCAAAAUCCUCAAUGGAGAAUAAAAGUAAAAUGGCAUUAUUUUUUUUCUCAUUUUCAUGUUCCUUCUAGAAAACAUAACCCUUCCCAUGUUUGUUGCCCUCCACUCAGUUAGUUACAGAAUCGCAUUUCCACCGAGUGCCCGGAACAUACUUAACCAUUUUGAAACACUUAACAUUUAACACAAACCACAUGACCAUAAGUUUUCAUUACUUCCCACUACACAAACAGUUCCAUGUUUAGAAAAAUCAGA